rnacentral:lncRNA from 1 species
GCGGCCAUAGCCCUCUUCACCAUAACCGUACUUGCGAGGCUCAUCAUCAUCAUCGCGCCUCUCAUAAGCCGGCUUCUCGUAGCCCUCCUCUUCUUGCCCCUCAUUACUUGGCCUCCCAUAACUAGGCCUCCUCGGUGGCUCCUCCACCUCCGGACUCUCGUAGCUCGGCCUCCCAUACUGUGGCUUCCUGGGGGACCCUUCCCCACCAUAACCAUACCCGCCACCUUGUUCCUCUCCGAAGCUAGGUUUCCGACCGUACCCAGAUCCAUAUUCAGAACUCGGUGCUUCGUACUCAGGCCUCCGACCAUACCCAGAUCCAUACUCCGAACUGGGCUGCUCGAACUCGGGCCUCCGACCAUACCCAGAUCCAUACUCCGAACUAGGUUGCUCGUAUUCAGGCUUCCGACCGUACCCAGAUCCAUAUUCCGUGCUAGGCUGUUCGUAUUCAGGCUUCCGACCGUACCCAGAUCCAUAUUCCGAGCUAGGCUGUUCGUAUUCAGGCUUCCGACCGUACCCAGAUCCAUAUUCCGAGCUAGGCUGUUCGUAUUCAGGCUUCCGACCGUAGCCAGAUCCAUAUUCCGAGCUAGGCUGUUCGCAUUCAGGCUUCCGACCGUACCCGGAUCCGUACUCCGAACUGGGUUCCUCGUAAUCAGGCUUCCGCCCAUGCCCAGAUCCAUACUCACCCUCCCCACCAAAACUCGACGGCGGCUUCGGCUGAUACCCAUACUCACCACCAUCACCACUGCCUCCGAACCCUCCUUGGCCAGGAGGUGGUCCGGCGUAACCAAGGACCGGACGAGGCUUGGGACGAGCAUAGCUCUUGUAUUCAUUCUCAAGAGCUUCAUCACCGUAAGCCGAUGGUUCAGAGCAUGAUGUGUAGCUUGGGCGAUCGUAGUCUAUAUCACCGGACUUCGAGGAGAUCGGAUAGCAAGUCUCCUCCGACGGCUCCAAAGGGCGGCCAUAGAUGACCGUGAUGUCGUAGCCUCCACCAUACGGGGUCGGAUCGUACUCAUCG